UAAGUUAGCGCUUAUGGGUUUCCCCCGCCCUGGUAGUCUUAGUAAGCCGGGAAGCUUAUGACUAAGAGCACCACGAUGAUGAUCCACUUCAUCAUGACCCUUUCCUUAUU
rnacentral:sRNA from 1 species